rnacentral:rRNA from 1 species
CCUACGGGAGGCAGCAGUGAGGAAUAUUGGUCAAUGGGCGGAAGCCUGAACCAGCCAAGUCGCGUGAGGGAUUAAGGCCCUGCGGGUCGUAAACCUCUUUUGCCGGGGAGCCGAGGUCCGGACGUGUCCGGGCCGGGAGAGUACCCGGAGCAAAAGCAUCGGCUAACUCCGUGCCAGCAGCCGCGGUAAUACGGAGGAUGCGAGCGUUAUCCGGCUUUAUUGGGUUUAAAGGGUGCGUAGGCGGGCAUUUAAGCCGGCGGUCAAAUGUCGGGGCUCAACCCCGGCCUGCCGUCGGAACUGGGUGCCUUGAGUGGGCGAGAAGUAUGCGGAAUGCGUGGUGUAGCGGUGAAAUGCAUAGAUAUCACGCAGAACCCCGAUUGCGAAGGCAGCAUACCGGCGCCCUACUGACGCUGAGGCACGAAAGUGCGGGUAUCGAACAGGAUUAGAUACCCCAGUAGUC